rfam:Aedes aegypti strain Liverpool supercont1.1328 genomic scaffold, whole genome shotgun sequence.
UGCCCAGCAACUUCUAUCCCUACCUCUUCGUGGUACUGGCCGGGGUACGAGUAACCUUGGGGAAGUUCGGGUAACCAACCCCCGGUGGGAACUUUGGUCGUAUGCUGACAGGGAAGA